CCUACGGGAGGCUGCAGUGAGGAAUAUUGGUCAAUGGGCGGAAGCCUGAACCAGCCAAGUCGCGUGAGGGAUUAAGGCCCUGCGGGUCGUAAACCUCUUUUGCCGGGGAGCAGAGGUCCGGACGUGUCCGGGCCGGGAGAGUACCCGGAGAAAAAGCAUCGGCUAACCCCGUGCCAGCAGCCGCGGUAAUACGGAGGAUGCGAGCGUUAUCCGGAUUUGGUGGGGUUAAAGGGUGCGUAGGCGGGCAUUUAAGCCGGCGGUCAAAUGUCGGGGAUCAACCCCGGCCUGCCGUCGGAACUGGGUGCCUUGAGUGGGCGAGAAGUAUGCGGAAUGCGUGGUGUAGCGGUGAAAUGCAUAGAUAACACGCAGAACCCCGAUUGCGAAGGCAGCAUACCGGCGCCCUACUGACGCUGAGGCACGAAAGUGCGGGUAUCGAACAGGAUUAGAUACCCCAGUAGUC
rnacentral:rRNA from 1 species